ensembl:snoRNA small nucleolar RNA SNORA42/SNORA80 family
GCAUGGGUCUGGAUUUAUGAUAGGCCUGUACCCCUGGGUCUCUCAUAGUGCCCCAUGCCAGAGCAAACUGUGGCCUUGAAUCACUGCCUGGCCUCUGCCCGUAGGCUGCAGGCACUGAAGCAGGUUACACAGUG